UCCUCCUGUAUUAGUAUGAAUGAGAUAGAUCAUUUAAGUCUUCCCCGCAACAAACAAUAAAAAUAGAUAAUAAACAUAAAUUUUAUAUAAAAAAUAUAAUUUUUUUUAAAAUAAAUAUAAAUCUUUUUAAAAUAAAUAUAAAUUAAUCACAAAUAAACAGAAACACGUCAUAAUAAAUUUGAAUAUAUAUAAACUCUACAAUAAAAAAUAAAAAUAUUUCAAAAUAAACACAAACUUAACUUUUUAAUCUCAACAAACAUAAUCUUUCAUCCCAUCCAUAAUAAUGACCUACUUUUUUU
rnacentral:lncRNA from 1 species